rnacentral:lncRNA from 7 species
AGGAUCACAUUUCUUUUGCUGUUUAAGUGCUGAGGUGUCCCACAGUCUCUCGUCUCCAUGGUACACAAAGGUGGAUGAUUUACUCCUUUGCUCUAGUGAAGAAGCGCAUCAUUGGUAUAGGAAACUAUUUCAACUGACUCAAGCUUUUUACUUAAAAAUAGAUGUUUACCCUUUCAUAUGGUGUUCCUGGAAGACUUUGUGAAAAAGAGUUUGUAUAUGCAGAUUCCCUCACUAUGCUUCCACUAAGAUGUUUGUAUUGGGAGCUACAGAAGAAGGAAUGACCAUUUGAAAGUGCCAUUUAAAAGAAAAGAGCUAGGAAAAGCCUGCUGAUUUUUCCCACACCAGAUUUUACAAGCCUGACUAGCCUCAGGUGUGGAGUUCUGGAAUUAUCUCCUUCCAUCUCUCUUGCGUCACUGCAUUUUUAUCAUGGCAAAACCUGUAGUUGCUAUUUGAUGACUAUCACCUCACAGAAACCCUAUGUUCAGCAUGAAAUAUGUUCUAUUUUCAGCUAAUCAGAAUAAAGAAUGAUACAGAAG